rnacentral:antisense_RNA from 1 species
CUCCGGAAGCCUAAGUAUUAUAUACGCGGCCAAAAUAAAGAGCCUUGAAUACUAGAAGAAAAACACCUAUACAUAACAAGAUUAAGUGAAUACCCAAAAUUGUGGUUAUUUUAUUUCUAUCUUUCUA